UCCGGAUUUACUGGGUGUAAAGGGUGCGUAGGCGGCUUUGCAAGUCAGAUGUGAAAUCUAUGGGCUCAACCCAUAAACUGCAUUUGAAACUGUAGAGCUUGAGUGAAGUAGAGGCAGGCGGAAUUCCCCGUGUAGCGGUGAAAUGCGUAGAGAUGGGGAGGAACACCAGUGGCGAAGGCGGCCUGCUGGGCUUUAACUGACGCUGAGGCACGAAAGCGUGGGUACCAAACAGGAUUACAUACCCUG
rnacentral:rRNA from 1 species